rnacentral:rRNA from 1 species
AUGCCGUUGUCUGACAUCCGCAUGGGAACAUGGGUGCACAGCAUCGAGCUGCGCCACGGCCAGGGUGCGAAGCUCGUGCGGGCCGCCGGAGCCUACGCCAAGGUGGUCAAGGAGUCGGCCACGCAGUGCCUUGUGCGGCUGCCGUCGGGCGUCGAGAAGCUGAUCGACUCCCGCUGCCGGGCCACCAUCGGCAUCGUCUCCAACCCCACCCACGGCGCGCGGAAGCUGAGGAAGGCGGGGCACAGCCGGUGGCUGGGCAGGCGCCCGGUCGUCCGUGGUGUCGCGAUGAACCCGGUGGACCAUCCCCAUGAAGGAGGCGAGGGGCGCACCAAGGGCGGCAGGCCCUCGGUGUCGCCCUGGGGGAAGCCCACCAAGGCUGGGUACCGGACCGUGCCCAAGAAGCCAAAAGCUCAGUUGUCCCGUGAUUGA